rnacentral:rRNA from 1 species
AAUGAACGCUGGCGGCGUGCCUAACACAUGCAAGUCGUGCGAGAAAGUUCCUUCGGGAGCGAGUAAAGCGGCGCACGGGUGAGUAACACGUAGGUAACCUGCCCCCCCAGUCUGGAACAACUAGAGGAAACUCUAGCUAAUGCCGGAUGAGACCACGAUCCCUUCGGGGGUUGCGGCCAAAGAUGGCCUCUACUUGUAAGCUAUCGCUGAGGGAUGGGCCUGCGGGCCAUUAGCUUGUUGGUGAGGUAACGGCUCACCAAGGCUGUGAUGGCUAGCUGGUCUGAGAGGAUGACCAGCCACACUGGGACUGAGACACGGCCCAGACUCCUACGGGAGGCAGCAGUGGGGAAUAUUGCGCAAUGGGCGAAAGCCUGACGCAGCGGCGCCGCGUGGGGGAUGAAGGUC